AUUGAACGCUGGCGGCAGGCCUAACACAUGCAAGUCGAGCGGUAGAGAGAAGCUUGCUUCUCUUGAGAGCGGCGGACGGGUGAGUAAUGCCUAGGAAUCUGCCUGGUAGUGGGGGAUAACGUUCGGAAACGGACGCUAAUACCGCAUACGUCCUACGGGAGAAAGCAGGGGACCUUCGGGCCUUGCGCUAUCAGAUGAGCCUAGGUCGGAUUAGCUAGUUGGUGGGGUAAUGGCUCACCAAGGCGACGAUCCGUAACUGGUCUGAGUGGAUGAUCAGUCACACUGGAACUGAGACACGGUCCAGACUCCUACGGGAGGCAGCAGUGGGGAAUAUUGGACAAUGGGCGAAAGCCUGAUCCAGCCAUGCCGCGUGUGUGAAGAAGGUCUUCGGAUUGUAAAGCACUUUAAGUUGGGAGGAAGGGCAGUAAAUUAAUACUUUGCUGUUUUGACGUUACCGACAGAAUAAGCACCGGCUAACUCUGUG
rnacentral:rRNA from 1 species